rnacentral:rRNA from 1 species
UACGUAGGGUGCAAGCGUUGUCCGGAAUUAUUGGGCGUAAAGAGCUCGUAGGCGGUUUGUCGCGUCUGCUGUGAAAACGCGAGGCUCAACCUCGCGCCUGCAGUGGGUACGGGCAGACUAGAGUGCGGUAGGGGAGAUUGGAAUUCCUGGUGUAGCGGUGGAAUGCGCAGAUAUCAGGAGGAACACCGGUGGCGAAGGCGGGUCUCUGGGCAACAACUGACGCUGAGGAGCGAAAGCGUGGGGAGCGAACAGG